rnacentral:rRNA from 1 species
CGGAAAGGCCUUUGGGGUACUCGAGCGGUGAACGGGUGAGUAACACGUGAGUAACCUGCCCUAGGCUCUGGGAUAACUGUCGGAAACGAUGGCUGAUACCGGAUAUUCAGUUCCUGCCGCAUGGGGGGGGUUGGAAAGUUUUUCGGCUUGGGAUGGGCUCGCGGCCUAUCAGCUUGUUGGUGGGGUGAUGGCCUACCAAGGCUUCGACGGGUAGCCGGCCUGAGAGGGCGACCGGCCACACUGGGACUGAGACACGGCCCAGACUCCUACGGGAGGCAGCAGUGGGGAAUAUUGCACAAUGGGCGAAAGCCUGAUGCAGCGACGCCGCGUGAGGGAAGACGGCCUUCGGGUUGUAAACCUCUUUCAGCAGGGACGAAGCGAUAGUGACGGUACCUGCAGAAGAAGCGCCGGCCAACUACGUGCCAGCAGCCGCGGUAAGACGUAGGGCGCGAGCGUUGUCCGGAUUUAUUGGGCGUAAAGAGCUCGUAGGCGGCUCGUUGCGUCAACCGUGAAAACCCGGGGCUUAACUUCGGGCUUGCGGUUGAUACGGGCGGGCUGGAGUUCGGUAGGGGAGACUGGAAUUCCUGGUGUAGCGGUGAAAUGCG